GAGCACCAUGGGACAAGCUUGAGUUGCAAAGGCAAGCUGAAAAAAAACCUCUCUUAAUUCCCCAAAUAGCAUCUCUCUGGAGAAACCAGGGCACGUUGUAGCCUCUCGUGCUGAGGACCACUGGACAGCACUCAACACUACCAAUGCUCGGAAGCCAUUCUAAACAGCACAACACCAACAAAAAGUACAAAAAUGAAAACACAAUGUGAUUUAAUAGGCUGCUAAAAGGACACUUGUUUACAGCAGAGAGCUGAAAGGCGGCAGAGUGCCACGUUGUUCCAUGCCAAUUGGAAUGAUGUGCAGAGGGGGACAGGGGUGAACGUGUCCAUGAAACAUGGUGGAAGUGAUGCAAGGGCAUUGUUUCCGGGGUUAUAAAUAAUACUGAUGGGGGCAGAACAUCAGGCCUACAACUACUACGACAUGUUGUGUGUCCUGAGGAAAGAAGGUAUCUCUCAUCUGCUACCAUACUAAUGAACAGAAGGACAUUCCAGGAACAUUCUGCUAGUAUCUUCUCUAGUUUGGUGAAGAAAAACAGAAUACUAUCUGA